AUAAGCCAUGGGAGUCGAAUCUAGCAAUACUUGGCGUACUGCUCAGUAACACGUGGACAAUCUACCCUUGGGUUGGGGAUAAACCCGGGAAACUGGGUAUAAUACCCACUAGAUCUGGGCUGCUGGAAUGCCUCCAGAUUGAAAGCUCCGGCGCCCAAGGAUGAGUCUGCGGCCUAUCAGGUAGUAGUGGGUGUAACGUACCUACUAGCCUACGACGCGUACGGGUUGUGAGAGCAAGAGCCCGGAGAUGGAUUCUGAGACACGUAUCCAGGCCCUACGGGGUGCAGCAGGCGCGAAAACUUUACAAUGCGGGCAACCGCGAUAAGGGGACCUCGAGUGCCAGGAUACAAUUCUGGCUGUCGCGAUGCCUUAAAAGCAUUGCAUAGCAAGGGCCGGGCAAGACCGGUGCCAGCCGCCGCGGUAACACCGGCGGCUCGAGUGGUAACCGCUAUUAUUGGGUCUAAAGGGUCUGUAGCCGGCCGAAUAAGUCUCUUGGGAAAUCG
rnacentral:rRNA from 1 species